UACGGGGGGGGCAAGCGUUGUUCGGAAUUACUGGGCGUAAAGGGCUUGUAGGUGGCCAACUAAGUCAGACGUGAAAUCCCUCGGCUUAACCGGGGAACUGCGUCUGAUACUGGAUGGCUUGAGUUCGGGAGAGGGAUGCGGAAUUCCAGGUGUAGCGUUGAAAUGCGUAGAUAUCUGGAGGAACACCGGUGGCGAAGGCGGCAUCCUGGACCGAUACUGACGCUGAGGAGCGAAAGCCAGGGGAGCAAACGGG
rnacentral:rRNA from 1 species